rnacentral:rRNA from 1 species
AACGAACGCCGGCGGCAUGCCUAACACAUGCAAGUCGAACGAGACCUUCGGGUCUAGUGGCGCACGGGUUCGUAACGCGUGGGAACCUGCCCUUAGGUUCGGAAUAACUCCCCGAAAGGGGUGCUAAUACCGGAUAAUGUCUUCGGCCCAAAGAUUUAUCGCCUUUGGAUGGGCCCGCGUUGGAUUAGCUAGUUGGUAGGGUAAAAGCCUACCAAGGCGACGAUCCAUAGCUGGUCUGAGAGGAUGAUCAGCCACACUGGGACUGAGACACGGCCCAGACUCCUACGGGAGGGAGCAGUGGGGAAUAGUGGACAAUGGGCGAAAGCCUGAUCCAGCAAUGCCGCGUGAGUGAUGAAGGCCGUAGGGUUGUAAAGCGCUUUUACCCGGGAUGAUAAUGACAGUACCGGGAGAAUAAGCUCCGGCUAACUCCGUG